AGAGGCGCGGCGAGUGAUCUCCUCAGUUUAAUCUAGGUUUAUGGACCACACCUGACUCCUUCCUUCCCUCCUUCUGCCUCCCGUAAGGAAGAUAUCAAAAUCUCGCCGGUGUUGUUUCAUAUUUUUUAUUCCUUCAAAUGUAUUGUUUGUCAGGAGUGACUGAAAUAAAAAUAUAAUAAGAGUCCAUCAUCAUCAUGGGAAUGGCUUUAAAAGAAAACUCGUCAGAGGAAUAUUACUGCUUCCCAUUGUCAACCAGUAAAUAGUUGCAAUUGAAUUUCUUUGACUUGGUUUCAUCCUUUGUAAACUGUAGAAAGAAUAUUAUGUGCCUUGUAGGAUUUUUAUAGAAGUAAAUAAAUUUAAAAUUCUUAGAACUGUUAGGUCGAAAGGGGGUCCAGGAGCUGAUGCAUGCCUCCGCCAGACGGAUGGUGAUGUAGAUACUGGGCCCUUCCUAGAAUCCGUAACAGGCCAGUGCACCAGGUGGAUGGUGACGCAGAUACCGGUCCCGCCCUGGAAUUCCUAACAGGUCAGCUACCUGGAAUUCCUAACAGGUCAGCUACCUGGAAUUCCUAACAGGUCAGCUACCAGACAGAUGACGACACCUGGAAACCGGGACGACCCCCGCGGCACGAACUCCCACAGCUCAUGCUCCCCCGCCCUCACUGAACAGCUGUGUAAAAAAAUGCCCCUACUCCCUCUCGGCGCGACUCCACUGGCCCAACCCCAGGACCUGUGGACCUCGCCCGAGAGCGCAGAAUAAAUUCUCCUCCUUCAA